AGAGAACAAACUUGGCUGGCCGAUGAACUCACAAGUGUAGGUAUUGUGCUACCCAAGGGGCAGGUCUUUCACUAACAUCACAAGGGUCUCUGGCCCAAUGAGUGAAGUUUGAUAGUAAUUGUUACUACAAGU
rnacentral:snoRNA from 1 species